GAAAUUUUGGAGCGCAGAGAAAAGGAAUCGAACAAAUCAGCCAAUCACAGUGAGACAAUGCUUAUUGUUAGUGAAGGAACCUGUGGAAGAGGAAGGAAUGAGAUACAAGUGGUGGUUUUAUUGAAGUGAAAAACGCGACGACGCACUUCCAAACGAAUCAAGUGUUUAAUAUCGAGGUUGGUUACAAAAUUCUUCGCGUGGUGCGCGAUAGUCACGAGAGCCGGACACUGCAAGUAUCUUCUGCUGCUGCCGUUGUGAUUACUGUUAUUGGUAUUGUCACCGCUGUUAAUGUUAUUGGAGUUGUUCGUGUCCACGUCAUUGGUACUUGUCAGUAUAUCCAGCGGAUCCGCUUCUGGCGGAAAACGACAUCGCAGACUGCUCGUGAAAUAUCGUCACGACAUUAGACGACGCCUAACACUUGCGAAAAGCAAAGGGCGACCCUGCCAGACCGUCGUUCGCAGUCACUUAGCGACCAGAGGAGAGACACAGAGAGACCGCGAGAAGCGGACGGACAUCGAGGGAGCGACCUGGCUUUUCCGUUAUUAAGGAAAUACUUCUGUUCGCGCAGUAAAUAAAUAUGAAACCGCAAUAUAUGCAUCGCAAACGCAUUUAUAUCUCAAAUGUCGUAAUCGACAGUUCGGACUGUUAAAUGCAGGCAUCCCGAUGCUUAUUCCAAUAUAUUUGCCUACCGACGGACGAAUCCCAUGCGAUUCCGAGGACGGAACCGAGUGCGGAACGAGAAAACGCAUAAAUGCAAGUAUGUGUGUUGAAAGGAGAAAUAUACGAGAGAGAAAGACAGAGAAAAGGGGGGGGACAGAGAGAGAGAGAGAGAGAGAGUGAGACAACCCCCUCUCCCCUCCUGGAAGGCGAGGGAGGGAAGAAAGGGGAGAAAGAGAGAACCGUCCGUCCACCUCGUCGCUCCAUCUCACGGAUACAAAU